rnacentral:rRNA from 1 species
GAUGAACGCUAGCGACAGGCCUAACACAUGCAAGUCGAGGGGCAGCACAUGAGUAGCAAUACGAUGGUGGCGACCGGCGCACGGGUGAGUAACACGUAUGCAACCUGCCUUCUACUAUGGGAUAACCCGUUGAAAGACGGACUAAUACCGUAUAAUACAGGGGCUCCGCAUGGAGAUAUUUGUUAAAGAUUUGUUGGUAGAAGAUGGGCAUGCGUAUGAUUAGAUAGUUGGUGAGGUAACGGCUCACCAAGUCAACGAUCAUUAGGGGUUCUGAGAGGAAGGUCCCCGAAACUGGUACUGAGACACGGACCAGACUCCUACGGGAGGCAGAAGUGAGGAAUAUUGGUCAAUGGACGAGAGUCUGAGCCAGCCAAGUCGCGUGAAGGAAGACGGUUCUAUGAAUUGUAAACUUCUUUUGUGCAGGAAUAAAGUGGGUUACGUGUAACCUUUUGUAUGUACUGUACGAAUAAGGAUCGGCUAACUCCGUGCCAGCCGCCGCGGUAAUAC